UACGGGGGGGGCAAGCGUUGUUCGGAAUUACUGGGCGUAAAGGGCUCGUAGGUGGCCAACUAAGUCGGACGUGAAAUCCCUCGGCUUAACCGGGGAACUGCGUCCGAUACUGGUUGGCUUGAGUUUGGGAGGGGGAUGCGGAAUUCCAGGUGUAGCGGUGAAGUGCGUAGAUAUCAGGAGGAACACCGGUGGCGAAGGCGGGUCUCUGGGCCGAUACUGACGCUGAGGAGCGAAAGCGUGGGGAGCGAACAGG
rnacentral:rRNA from 1 species